rnacentral:rRNA from 1 species
UACGAGGGGAGCAAGCGUUGUUCGGAUUUACUGGGCGUAAAGGGCGCGUAGGCGGUCGUGACAAGUCACUUGUGAAAUCUCCGGGCUUAACUCGGAACGGUCAAGUGAUACUGUCGGACUAGAGUACAGAAGGGGCAACUGGAAUUCUCGGUGUAGCGGUGAAAUGCGUAGAUAUCGGGAGGAACACCUGUGGCGAAAGCGGCGCACUGGACCACAACUGACGCUGAGGCGCGAAAGCUAGGGGAGCAAACAGG